rnacentral:rRNA from 1 species
GACGAACUGUGCAAACGUUAUUCGGAAUCACUGGGCUUGAAGAGUGCGUAGGCGGUUUUGUAAGUAGGGUGUGAAAGCCCCCGGCUCAACCGGGGAAUUGCGCUCUAAACUGCAAGGCUGGAGUGAGGUAGGGGUGUGCGGAACUUCCAGUGGAGCGGUGAAAUGUGUUGAUAUUGGAAGGAACGCCGGUGGCGAAAGCGGCACACUGGACCUUGUCUGACGCUGAGGCACGAAAGCCAGGGGAGCAAACGGG